GGUUCCGAUGGUCAUCAGCCCCCCUAAACCCCUUGCUUUGCGCCUCUUCCGUUUUGAGACAUGGCGAACUUCAACGCCGAACGGGAUCGCGCCUUCCGUGAAUCAGUCAACUACAUGGCUAUGAGAGCAGAGCUGAUACACGUCCGAUGCGAUGCAGUCGUUGCUGUUAUGGCAGUAUCCCCGGUUGAUGGAAGUGUGCUUUGACCAAGCUAUGGACUAACAUCGGAUACGACAGGAUUCCGAACCCUGAUCCUCUGACUAGGUACCUAGCUAGCUUGACCGAAGUCCGCAGGGCACUGGAUUACCGCCCACCUGAGGUUCUAGACUAUGGCUGCUCGUGCCUUGGCAUUGGAAUGAGAUGAGUCGAUCAUCGGAAGUGGUGGAUUUAGAGUUUUUAUAUAGAUAACUUUCUUUAACAAAAUGCAAAACUUUGAGAUUGAGCCAGCUUUUGUGUGCUCUCAAUCUAUUAUCUUUUGGCUAUUCUGAUUUACAAGUUUAAAUGUAAUGGGCUACAACCUGUUGAAACUUUUGAAACAGAUAUUAUGGCUUUUGUUCACAAAAGCAUCCAAAAUCUUCUAUUGCUUGUUAUUGUUUUUAUCAAA